AGAGUUUGAUCCUGGCUCAGAUGGAACGCUGGCGGCAUGCCUUACACAUGCAAGUCGAACGGCAGCACGGGGGCAACCCUGGUGGCGAGUGGCGAACGGGUGAGUAAUACAUCGGAACGUGUCCUGUAGUGGGGGAUAGCCCGGCGAAAGCCGGAUUAAUACCGCAUACGAUCUACGGAAGAAAGCGGGGGAUCGCAAGACCUCGCGCUAUAGGGGCGGCCGAUGGCAGAUUAGCUAGUGGGUGGGGUAAAGGCCUACCAAGGCGACGAUCUGUAGCUGGUCUGAGAGGACGACCAGCCACACUGGGACUGAGACACGGCCCAGACUCCUACGGGAGGCAGCAGUGGGGAAUUUUGGACAAUGGGCGAAAGCCUGAUCCAGCAAUGCCGCGUGUGUGAAGAAGGCCUUCGGGUUGUAAAGCACUUUAAGUUGGGAA
rnacentral:rRNA from 1 species